CCAUCAAGCAUCUGGGACUGAUGAUUUCUGUGCCCAUAAAGAGGAACAAUGUCACAGAUCCUGUUUCUGAAGGAGGAGAGGUGGAGGCUGUAGCUGUGGACACUGUGUACAAGAGAGAGAGAAAAGAAACAAGCCAACCUCAGACUAUGGGUUUAACAUCAAGCACUUUUAUGAAUCCGACCUCUAGGUAACUCUGCAUUCCUCUGUUCCUGUGAAGGGUGGACUCUUAGGAUCUCACUGAGUCCUGUUUCCACUUUCUAAACAAAGAGCUCUUUAUUUAAGGAAUUUAAAGGACAAACAUCAAAUCUUCUUGAAAAAAGCCUCAAGCAAUCACAAAACAAACUUCAUAACACGUUUUUGACCAUAAAAUAUAUUAUAAUGCACACCACUUAAGAUCAGGAUUGCAGCUUAUGUAGCCUGAGUCCAAAAAUAUUGAGCAGAUUAAAUUACUCGGAACUAUUACCCAGUCUUUGUUGUAAGGGAGAUUGUCAGCUUAAGUUAAAUAAGCCUCCCUCACAUUGUCAAGUUUAUACAAAGCUAGUAUUUAUCUAACCAUUCAUCCUGGACUUACUGACUCUAGCUCAACUAUAUUGUACCAUUUAAAACAACAUGCAUAUGUAUAUUUUUAUUUAGUUUUUAAUACAAUAAAUAUAACGAGUCAUGUUUUGACCCAAGACUACGAAAUUUGGUAGACACGUAACUUCUCAAAACUUACAAAAUUGUCCCUUGAGCCUUUUGUCCAAACCCAACAGGAAGUUGGCCAUUUUGGAUCAAAGCUGCCAUUUUGUCUGUUUUACACACAUUGCAUCUGAGUGAACUUCUCCUACAGCUUUUGAAUCUUCAAAAUGACAACACAAUCUUAAGGUACUGAAGACCAAAAGUUAUCACAAGCUUUUUGCUGGAUCAAAUCAUGUACAAGUGACCAAGCCUCUAAUAACGUCCACACACAAGGCCAGAGCUGAAUCAAACUUUUUGCGUGUCAUUACAGAUCAGCUCUUAACACAUUUACAUGGUCAUCUGGUGACAUAACUUUAGCCCCACCUACUUAUUACAUGAAGUCACAUGUCCUGUUGAUAGAUGUCCUCCUUGUACACACUCACACGUACAACUUUCAAGCCGUGUCUGAUGACACAGGUGAUGUUAAAUCAUGCACUGAACAGUGACUGUUGAAUGGAGCAUGUGAGCGUGGAAAAAGUGGCAAAUUCCACUACCAUAUCUUUUGUAUACGGUUGGUUCUAAAUCACACAGUCAUGAUCCGAUUUGUAUCAAACUGGAUAUGAAAGAUCUUUGUCAAUCUUUAAAUGGACCAUUUGGAUUACAUUGAAAUUUGACUCCACUUCAACCCUUGACAUCCUUUACAGUUAUAUCUUAUACAGUACAUCAUCAGAUCUGCACCAAAUUAUUUGUGCAUCAUCAGGCAGCACUGCUCAACACACUGCUGCAGUAGACUGACGACAUCACUUUAGCCCAGUCAAAAUAGAGAAGAAAUUUGCAGGUUUGUUUUGUGACAUUUAGGGAUUCUACUUAAUAACGAGAGAAUUUACACUCAUUGAGUUCAGCCCAUUGACUAAUAUUUAAAGUUCACUAAUUAUGGAUUAUUUAAAAGUCUGUCCUAAAUUUCUAAAUUAGUAAAUUAAAGUCAUGCAUAUAGGAGAAAUGUUGACAUGUAUUGACGGAUGAGAUUCUUCAAGCAUUGCUCUUCAAGGUCAAUAAAUAUUCACAUCACAGGGUGUAUAAGUAGGCUAUCAAAAUGUCAACUCUUAAGGUCCAGCAGCAGUUUUUAAAGGUUAGGUAAAUGUAAGAUAAAGGUCAGAUAUGAGGUGCUUUUUACAUGACAUCUAACAUCUUAUAAACAAACCAUGAAUCUAAUUGUAAGUAUGUUUAUUAAUCACAAAUAUCUAAAUUAAAGUUAUCUGCUGAUCGGCUCUGAUAUAUCUAGAGUUGCACAGACUGAAAUUGUGUUUUAUGAUCUUUUGACUCAACAAGUGCUCUCAUGAGCGCCAUCAUGCCACUAUUGCAACCUCUUCCUGAGACUGAGGCAGGUUACAACAAUGUCUGCAAACUGUUUGGAGUUCAGCCCCCAUCUUUGUCACCUUUGCUUGCUGUUCAUUCUUGCUGUCAUGUAAUUCAGUGAGCCACAACACAAACCGGCUUAAAGAUACAAUCUCAUAGGGUAUGUUUUUGCGUAACAAAUAUACAGUAAACAUACAGAUGGAAAAUGAAGUGUCAAUUUUCAAAGCAGGUUCACAGAACGUGCGAAGUUUUUAAAAAGUGCAUUCGAGACAAAAAAAACUCCUUAUUCUGCGCUGUGAGAAGCACUUUCAAAAAGAAGAAAACUGCAAAAGACUCAAAGAUUCUGUUUACCAUAGCCACACAGAGUCCAAGCAAAUACAGUUAGAAAGAAUUUGACAAAACUUAAACAAAAAACGUGGUGAAAAUCACAAAAAAAGAGAUGCAAAUGGAACGAAUUAAAAGAGCAACUGUCAUAUAUUUUGAUGGCUGCCACCUCUUUCUGUUACCUUAGAGAUGUGAGCAUGGAACAUUUUUUUUUUCGGAAGAAAAGAUAUUUACAUUACCAUUUAACAGCUUUAUAGCAAGCAAACAAAAGCUAAACAUGCAAAUUUAAACAAAAACAAUUAAACAUUGUUCAAGCAAAUGAAAGAUCCUUUUUUUUUUAGAAAACAGUUUCUUCUAGUUGUGGAAAAGAUGUCACAAAUGUUAAGCCAUACAGAUUUAUGGGUAAGUCUCUUCAGGGUGUGAAUAUUUUGUUUAUGUAGAUAGCUCUCAUUCAAUGUAAUGACAUUUUUUUUCAACUUCUCUGGAACCUGAAUCAGAUGGACUAUGGCAGCAGAAGAGCUGGUGCCUCCGCUUAGUUAAAAACAGGAAACUGAAGUUACAAUUUAGACAAAUGCACUUGUUUUCUGCUUUGACAGGUUUUAUACUUUCAGCUUCAGAUGUCCUUCUAUCAACUGUUCAAGCCGAUGGUGAUAUGACAGUCUGGGGGUAUUUUCUUGGCACGCUUUGGGUCCUUUGCUAGUUGAGCAUUGUGUGAAUACAGCCACUGUAUGGUGUACCCAUCUUCUGAUAGCUACGUCUAGAAAGAUAAUGCACCUUGCCACUAAAUUCAAAUAACCUGGUUUCUUGAGCAUAGCAAUAAGUUUACUCUAUUUCAGUUUCUUGUAGGACAGUUUCUGGGGACUAUUAAGUAGUCUUAAUAGUCAACCCAAUAACUUUUGGUAUUUUCCUUUUGUGUUGUGGUGGAACAGAAGAUUUGUAUUAUGGAUCUACAGACAGUAAAUCUCCAGCUAAAAUGUGAUGUUGUCAUGUUAGUAUAGACCAAGAUCUCUGAUAAAUGUUUCUGAAAACCUUGUUGAUUCAAUGCCAUAAAGCUCUGAAGGCAAAAAGGGGGUCCAGCCUUUUACUAGCAAGGUGUACUGUAUUUAAAAAAUAAGCCUGUCAGUGUGACUUAGCAUCUGUAUUAAAACUGAAAGCUUUCUUUAUAGUAAUGAUUUUAGAUUACUCUUAAAUUAUAUUUUAACAUUCUCUGUUCUUGAACCAAGAAGCUGGUAAGCGUAUUAAGAAAUAACCAUUUGUCAAAUCAGAGCUGUCUCUGUACUUCACUCAACACAAUCAGUGGUUUUCUUUCAACGUCUCUUUUCACUAAUUUGCAUGAUUCUUGAGAGAGGAGUGUUCUUUUCAGCUGCAGCUGUCUUCUUAAUGGUUUUGGAUCUUUGCUUAAUUUUAAGGAAACCUUUGUCCUAAAUCAAAAGAUGUUAUGAACAACCUAUAACACAUUUGCAUGUUUCAACAUGUUGUUUGGCACAUUGUGAAAGCAAAAAAUGUUUUACAAGUGAAAAAAAAUAGGGAAGUGUUUGGAGGGGAAAAAAUCCCUGAAGGCAAACUGAAUGACUAGAUGUUGGGAUUUGUUUCCCCUUAUAAUCUUGACAGUGAUACAUGUGUCUUUACAAUGCAGGAGAUCUAACGAUCAUCUGGAAGACAAUUUGAGUCACCUGGUUCAAGACACUGUUAAGGCAGACAGAACCAGAAAGACCACAUAGUUAUUCUUAUUGUACGUUUUGUUUCUAUCAAUCAAACCUGCCACACCUUCAAAUCAAAUGCUGGUCAUUCAAGGGAAGAUGGACAAUUAUGUGGAGAACUACCUGCCACGCACCAUUCCGCACAUUUUAGUUUGUAGAAACAAAGACAACACACAACUAAAAGAAUAUUUCAAAAAAGUUUCUCAUGCAUGCAGGAAGGCAGUACUCUUGACAGCCUGAGAACAAGAGCUUGAAAAUCAUUAAUGUUAAUGUUGUGAAGGCCCUCUUUGUUAAAUAACACAUACACACUCAAUAUUACAAAAGAGAUAAAUGGAGAAAGUUGAGCGGACAGGAUAAAACCUUAGCAUUACACUAAAGCCACAGUUAUCUAAUUUUUCCACAGCUUUACAGCAUCUGAGUGCAAAAAAACAAUUAUUGUUGUCAUAAUCAGUUGCGUGUGUCUUACAAAACAAUUAAACUGGGAGUGGUGAGUUCGGAUGUCAUUUGCAGUUACACAGAAAUAGGCAGGGCAUAUACUCCAAAACACGUCAGUUUGGAUUAAUUGUGCUAGAGUGAGACAAGUAAAACAGUCAUUUGUAGCCUCCUUAUCAAGAGACUGAGACAUAAAACCAUUCAGAUAUCAAUAGUAGAUACAUGAAAACUCUGUAAAUAAAAAGAUUUAAACAGCUCCAAAAGUCUAUCGUUAAACAAGAGCCCUGUGCUGAGCAGAGUAAUGUGGGAAAGUGUAAAUGACUUUGAAAACUAAAUGGGAAGGAAUACCUUUGAGAGCAAAUCCUUUACUUUUCAACAAACAUGACUAUAUCAAAAAAUACUAACCAAAGAGCAAAAACAAUAAUAAAAGGUGUACCCAGCAAACAAAAAAAUUAAGAGAUAAGCAAAGAAUCAAAAAAGAGGUCAGUAACUGCACUGAGCUGAAAGACAAUAUUUCCAUUUGCCAGAAUUGCACAACAUUUAAAGAUGCACUGUUGAAUGCUAACACAAAAUGUGUAAUUCCUAAAAUUAAGCAGCACAAACAAGUUGGCCCAAGCUAAAUGUUAAAAUAUAUUAUGCUCAGCCAUGCUGUUCCCCACAUCGUCUCCUUAAAGAAGGUUCAAAACCGAAGCUUUUUUGUUGCUCACAACAGCUGCUAUGCUGCUCUGCAAUGGUUUGAACUCGUGUUGCUCUGCAGGUUAUCUUCUUUCAUUUUUUAUUUGGGACCCAAAUAAGCACUUCUCAGGAAAAAACAAUUCAAAGAGUAGAAAAACAAAAAUAUAUUUAAUAACAGGAGUUAAUUGUCCCCAAAAGAAAUCCUGUCAGUCACCUGGAACUGUCACACUUUAUGCAUCUUACAAUGAGAACUACUAGCAACAUGAUCUGUGGUUGAUAUGCUUCAGAAAAUCUUACCAGCUUUGAGGGAAAACAUGUUCCAUCAGAGCCGAUUUGAGAUCUAAGGAAUUCUCAUUACGUAAUUAGAAACUCUUUGGACAGCUGCUAGGAAAAGAAAAAAAAGGUCUGCUCCUUAUAGCUUCUGUUUAUUUAGGAGUAAAUGCCAACUUCUGCCAAGAUCAAUAUUUAUCAGCUCAGUUAAACAACUCUGACUUUAGUCUCAAACCUUGAGGAGGCAGACCAAAAGGGAGGGACGUGUGAUUAUUAUCAAAAAUACAGCAGUAAUAGCAAAUUGUGUAACUAUAAAUUUCAAAACAACAAUCAAUAUUUCUCUCAAGUAGAAGAUAAUUUU